CGACUCGACAAACCUCAUGAAGCUCACACUUUUCCGGCAAUUCUACAUCAUUGUGAUCGGAUAUUUGUAAUUCACGAGGAUCGUCGUCUAUGCAUCGGGGACAAUCACAUCUUACAAGUACCGGUGCGUGAGCGUCGCAGCUGAGGAAACCGUGAGCCUUUUGUUCUACAUUUUCAUGUUCUAUAUGUUUCGCCCGGUGGAGAGGAACCAGUACUUUAUGCUUGAUGAAGAAGAGGAAGAAGCUGCAGAAUUGGCGCUCCGUGAGGAAGAGUUCGAGCUUUGAUUGACAGUAGGAAGGAGAAACACUUGUGUGGGAACUUCCUGGUGUGAUCUUCACGCUGAUUUCAUCGAGUAUUCUUGCUAUAGGAUAAAAGAAGGUUAUGAGGUGAGUCGCACACCCUCAUUCAGUGCAGCUCCCACCCAAAUUUAAUGGCUAGCACUUACGCCUUCCAGCAGUCAGUGUCCGGCAAAAAGGAGCAGCCAGCCAGCAAACACUUUCCGUCACUGGAUCUCAUCAAGAAUCCCGCCCCUUGUGCAUUAUCCUGCAGAUUAGAUCUCUGCAAAUCACUGGAUUAGUGUAUAGAGAUUUGACGCUGCAAAUCGCUUGAACAGGUUCAAGUUAUUAAUUUAGAUCUCUGUUUUACUGGAUCCAUGUUGGUGUAAAAGGUUAUGCUUUGAUGCUUUCGAAGAAAAGAGGUUGAUAGGAAUAGCAGAAGCUGCAGUCUCUUGCCAAACUCACUCGUUUAUGUAGGUUUUCUGAUUCGUCGAUUGGAUUAAUUUGAUGAGAAAAAUGGUUUGUGCAUUGUGGAUGAUCUGGCUUUGAAAAAAGUACUGCUUGGAGAUUAUGGUAGUGAUGGAUGGUACAAACUUUGCUUUGAUUUAUGCCAUCUAUGUUACAGCAAAAAUAGAUCUGUUUUUGAGAAGUACUGGUUGGAGAUUGUGGUAGUAAAGAAUGGUAAAAGUUUUGCAUAGAUUCAUGACUUGUGUGUUACUGCAACAGGCAGCAAAUUGUGCCUUUUUUUGAUUGAUUAAUGAGAAACAAUUCAAGCUUC